rnacentral:lncRNA from 1 species
AGGGGUUGGGGACGUAGCCAAAUAGAGAUAGAGCGGAGAAAUUAUUAAUUAAAAAUGAUCAUAUUAAUUUAAAAAAAUAAUUUUUUUAUCCAAACUGACAAAAGUUAUCAAUUAAAAUGAACUUCAAAAUUUUCAAAUCAAGAUUGGAUAAUAAUAUUAUUUUUUUCAAUCAUAAAUAAUAUGAUCAUUUUUUAUUAGAUUGGAUAAAAACUAAUAAUUUUUUGAUAGGAUGAGAG